rnacentral:pre_miRNA from 1 species
UGUAAACAUCCUACACUCAGCUGUUACACAGAGACUGGCUGGGAGGUGGAUGUUUACG